CGUCGCGGCCUCCUGGUGGCGCAGGAUGUCGAGCGCGUUGCCCUUGUCGGUCGCGACGACCGCGAGCUCGAUGACGGCUUUGCCCUCGGUCACCUGCACGCCGGUCCACAGCGCCGCCUCGGCAUGCACCGCCGCGAGUGCCUUCGCACCCGCCUCGGGACUGGCGUUGCGCACGUGCAGCGCGGCGCUGGCCGGCUUGGUCUCCACGGUGACGCCGGGAUGCAGGUCGGCGAUCCGCGACAACUCGGCCGUGACCUCGCUCAGCAGUUUGCGCGCAUUCGCGUCGAUCGCAUGCACGAAGCCCACGUCGAACUCCGAGCCGUGGCUG
rnacentral:misc_RNA from 1 species